rnacentral:rRNA from 1 species
AGCGGCGUAAGGGGCAGUAAUACCUGGGAACGUACCCUGAGGUCGGGGAUAGCUGCUAGAAAUGGCGAGUAAUACCCGAUGAUCUCGAGAGAGCAAAGGCUUGCCGCCUUCGGAGCGGCCCAGGCGAUAUUAGCUAGAUGGUGAGGUAAUGGCUUACCAAGGCUUAGAUGUCUAGCGGGUGUGAGAGCACGACCCGCGCCACUGGCACUGAGACACUGGCCAGACACCUACGGGUGGCUGCAGUCGAGAAUCUUCGGCAAUGAGCGCAAGCUUGACCGAGCGACGCCGCGUGCGGGAUGAAGGCCUUCGGGUUGUAAACCGCUUUGGUCCGAGAGAAAGGGAAACUUGACCGAUCGGAGAAACAAGGACGGGCUAAGUUCGUGCCAGCAGCCGCGGUAAGACAAACCGUCCAAACGUUAUUCGGAAUCACUGGGCUUAAAGGGCGCGUAGGCGGCCGAGCGGGUCGCGGGUGAAAUCCCCCAGCUUAACUGGGGAACUGCCCUCGAUACCACUGCGGCUCGAGGAAGGAAGGGGCAAUCGGAACUGUCGGUGGAGCGGUGAAAUGCGUUGAUAUCGACAGGAACGCCGGUGGCGAAAGCGGAUUGCUGGUCCUUUUCUGACGCUGAGGCGCGAAAGCCAGGGGAGCAAACGGGAUUAGAUACCCCGGUAGUCCUGGCCUUAAACGAUGAGAACUAGGUAG